rnacentral:lncRNA from 1 species
ACACUUUAAUACGCCUUUUCACUCUUUCAUGUGAUGUGUGUGUAACAAACAAAGGCUCCUUCACUAAAACUACUACUACUUACUAAUUCUAGGCUCCUUCCCUCAAACUUUUGAAAUCCCUAUUUUUCAGAUCUCAGAUCCAUUUUCUUCACAAACUUGGGUCCUCACCACAUUUCCUACCUACCUAAUCCAAAAUCACUUAAUUCUUCAAGCUAAUCAUUUUUCACCAAAAGUAAAACCUUUUCUUGCAAUCAUUGUAUCAUGAAUUUUUGACAACUAAAAAGCUUUUUUUUCUCCUAAUUAUUAGACACACUGUACAACUUUAAAAGAG